rnacentral:rRNA from 1 species
CCUACGGGCGGCUGCAGUGGGGAAUAUUGGACAAUGGGCGAAAGCCUGAUCCAGCCAUGCCGCGUGUGUGAAGAAGGUCUUCGGAUUGUAAAGCACUUUAAGUUGGGAGGAAGGGCAGUAAAUUAAUACUUUGCUGUUUUGACGUUACCGACAGAAUAAGCACCGGCUAACUCUGUGCCAGCAGCCGCGGUAAUACAGAGGGUGCAAGCGUUAAUCGGAAUUACUGGGCGUAAAGCGCGCGUAGGUGGUUCGUUAAGUUGGAUGUGAAAUCCCCGGGCUCAACCUGGGAACUGCAUUCAAAACUGACGAGCUAGAGUAUGGUAGAGGGUGGUGGAAUUUCCUGUGUAGCGGUGAAAUGCGUAGAUAUAGGAAGGAACACCAGUGGCGAAGGCGACCACCUGGACUGAUACUGACACUGAGGUGCGAAAGCGUGGGGAGCAAACAGGAUUAGAUACCCCUGUAGUC